GUUACGAUAAAAUUAUUGCUCAAAAUUAAAUUUGGAUACUAGAAAAGUGUAUAGU
rnacentral:sRNA from 1 species